rnacentral:siRNA from 1 species
GCUAUGAGUGUCGAUCAGUGUCUU